UGGCUCAGUUUGUAGAGCAUGUGACUUUUGAUCUCAGGAUUUUGAGUUCAAACCUCAC
rnacentral:tRNA from 1 species